rnacentral:lncRNA from 1 species
AACGUAUACGAUGAGGCUUAGAAUAUAAGGAAAUGAAGAAUAGUUUAUGAUUAUGCCACCGAGACGAAAACAAAAACCAGCCGUGGAAGAUCAACCAGAUAAUCGAACGACGAACGCCAAAGACUUUAAGGCAAUCUUAUUGCUAGGGUAUAGAGGAUUAAGUGACUCAGUAGAAGCGUUUAUGAUAGUUAGGAUAACGGAAAGGGCGAAAGAUAACUUUUAUCACCUAUACGAUAAAAGGGAAAUGAGAUAAAGAAAAAGUUUAUGUGCUAUGUGUGUGGGCAGAAGAGACAUAUCUCUUCCAAUUGUCCCAAUUCAAGAAUGUGUAGCGAACGUUUUAUUUGUGAAUCAAUGGAGUAUAAGGUGAAAGAUUAUUAAAGAAGGAGAAGUGAGAUAAGGAAUGCGAAUACGAGAAAUGACAGCAUGAUAUAGGCGACAACGAAACCAAUUUUAACAAACAACCCAACUGCGAGGGUCUACAACAUAACGGUCCAAGAUACGGUGGCAGCUGGAAACAGAACUCCAGGUGCUAUUUGAAUAACUUAUGUGUCUUAUAUGAUUUUCCUGUAUAUAUACAUAUAGUAGAUUACUUUAUUAAAGAAAUUUUGAGGAAGGAAUUUGAGUUCUUUUAGAAAUCAAAUUUCUGUUUAUCAGAUAGACAAGCGUUAUGAAGAAUAAUUAAAGAUCAGUUCGAUAAAGUAUGAU